GCCAAGACACAAGCCAAAACUAAGUGGAGAUGGAGGUAUGGUGUGUCUGGGAGGUGUAUAUGGUGAAGCAUGGGGCCCAAGCCCAUUGGUUCGAUCCAAGAGAGGGGAUGAAAUCUCAAAGAUCAAACUCAUACCAAACAAAAGUAUCAAAUGCGUCAGAGCACUCCUCCACCGGUGAGUGUACCAUCUGCCUCACCGGAAAUCGCCUUCGGCAGCGGCGGAAGGCCAAAUUCCACUAAACCUACAUCGGAAUACUCAUAUUGGUCUCCCCUCUCACCCUAUCCUAUUCAUUCAUCCUAAUCCUCCAUGAUUUCCCCGAAUCGAGCCAAACACAUCGUGAACCCUAAAACUCAUAUUUGAAAUUAAGCUUCAUCAAAGCUCGAUUAUAAUCCAACUCUUUAGGGUUAUAGUUCUUCUAAGAAAUGGAUACCAAUUGGUAAAAAAAGAGAUGGCAAGACAAGAUAUACCAACCUACGAAAUGUUGAAAUACUUGGGCGUUUGCUGCAACCGGCAAAGAAGGCGAAGCUCAAGAAAAGAACCAGAGAAUUACGAAUGACGUAAAAACUCGAACUCCAAGCUCCAUGGUUUUAGCUUCUUCCACUCCUUCUUAUGUGUGUACUCUGUAGGUGAAUUCUCACGCCCCUGUGUUAUUCUUGUUGAUGAGAGUUGAGACGUGAGUGGAGGUUGUAGCUCAACUCUUGUUGUUUCAGAGGUUCAAUGUGAAGCUUUGAGCAACAAUGGAGAAAGAGCUUUGGUGAGAGAGGAAUUGAGUGAAGGUGAGGGAUGAAAAUCCCGUGAUUCUGUGAGUGGUGAUUAAAAAAUAGGGGCCUCUUGAGGAAUGAACCUCACUCUGGAUUUAUAGCCAUUGAAUUUGACAGAAAAAUUUCACAUUGUUAAAAGUUCACAGUUCAAGUUAGUUAGGGAUUAACUUACACUGUUAAUCCUCUCAUUACGUGCCAAAUUAGUUAGUUAUCUAGCUGGAAAAUUCUGUUAGUUAGGGUUGAGAUGUUAGUUAUUCUGUUAAGUUAGUUGAAGUUUUUCUGUUAUGACUAUGUAAGUGAAGUUAUGGUUAGUGCAUUAGGAAUGUGAAGUUGAUUAAUAUCUAUUUGAGUUUUUGUUAACAGUUAGUCUAUGAAUUGCAACAUUUGAAAUCCUGUUAUGCAUAGUUGUGAAAUAUGGGGAUGUCAUCCUUUUGGCAUUGUUUGAAGUUUAAAAUUCAGGUUAUUGCAGUAAAAAGAUUUGGUGAAAUGCUCAUGGGAUUGAUGUUAGCAAGCAAGUUAUUACUUGUUGAAAUGGUUAUCAAAUGAAGGCAGUUAGGAUCAUGGACAUUGAACGGAGAAAGUUACAUGGCAUUCAUAAUUGUUGUGGGUUUUUUUGUUCAAAUUGGUUAUGUAAUUAGCUUAAGGUACUUAUGAUGGCAUGGCUUUGAAUAUUGAAAAAGAUAUGGAGAUGGUGGAUGAAGAAGAAUCCGAAAUGGAGAUAGGCACAUUAGAAAUUAGUGGUUGACUUUGGUCAACUCUUGACCAAAAAGUCAACAAUUGACUAAAAUGUCAACCUUGCCAAAACCUACAUUUUUCUUUGUAAUCUUGUGUAUGAACUAUGUAAAUUGAUACUUAAAUGAAAUGUAAUGAAGAAUUUGAAUGAAAAGUUUAUUUGCAAAA